UUUACCAUCAAGGUAGAGACAUGUUACACGCUUAAGACAUUACCUUUAGAGCAAAACAACUCAGAAUUCACGACGACGAGGCCAUGGAACUUAUAAAAUAAUAUCAUUUUUAAAAAGCGACUUACGCCAUUUCCAAGCGCUUAAUGCACAAAGGGUAUAAAACCACAAGAAACAAAAUACAUCUGUACAUCUGAUGAACUAAUGUGAGAAUUUGGCAGUACGUCCAACCGGGUCUCACAACCUCAGACCACGAGUAACCAUUUCCAGCCCAGGACCUCCACAUCCGGCUUCUUCACCUGCGGGACCCGCCACCCUGACAGCUGAUGAAACUGUGGGUGUGCACAACUGAAGAACUUCUGCACAAACGGUCAGAAACCGUCUUAGGGAAGCUCAUCUGCAUUACUCGUCAUUCUCACCGGGGUCUUAACCAGACUGCAGUUCGGCGUUGUAACCGGCUUCAGUGGGUAAAUGCUCACCUCCGAUGGCAUGCUGGAGAUGUGUGCUCUUCACGGAAUAAAUCCCAGGUUCAACUGGCAGACAGCGUGUAUGGUGUUGUAUGGGUGAGCAGUUUGCUGAUGUCAAUGUUGUGAACAGAGUACCCCAUGGUGCCGGUGGGGUUAUGGAAUGGGCAAGCAUAAGCUAUUGACAAUGAACACAAUUGUAUUUUAUUGGUGGCAAUUUGAAUGCACAGAGCUACUGUGACGAGAUCCUGUACUCUACAAAUGAAGGAUUCAACAAGGCUUCUUCUAAGAUCCUCAAAGUUCUUUGAAUAACCUAUUUUCAGUACUUGGCACAGAAAAUAGCCCCCCAAAAGGUUAUUCCAAGACCACCAUGGGAGGUGGGGCUCAUCGAGGAAUCUCUUUAGUUGGUGGGGUUUCUUGCAAGAACCUAACUGCCCAACUGAAACAUUUGGAUUUGAAUUUGAAAGGACAGCAGGUGCAGGCAAUUAACCAAAAAAAUGUAACAAUCCCCUCAAUUAAAGGUAAGUUUUGGUCCCUUGUGUGAUAUCUAUCAAUAUUGUUUUAUGAUGAUACCGUCUAUCGUUUCAUAUUUGUGCAAAUAUUUCUAAAAAAUAGAGAAUGGACACAAUUCAUUGGAUAUCAAUCAACAAAGAGGUGAGAAUAUGUAGGCUUUAAGAAUAAUGUUGAAGACUAGCUGUAUUGGGUGCAGGUGACUGAACGGCUCACUUUUGUGUCUACGGGUAUAUCGACGAGGAGGCAUACAAAGGUAUAUCAAUUGCUAUUGGUGUGUUAUGCAGAGCCCACUUACCACCCGCCUCCCUUACCUCUUCAAUGAAUACCCCAUAGGCUUCUACAUUAUGGACAAGGUAUGUGUAAGAAUACUGUCGUGUGCAAUGUUUUGUUAGUCAUCAGUAUAAUGACUAUUUUGGGGAUUCACAGACUUGACCCUCUCUACACUGAUGAAUAUAACAGGAAACCCUGUUCGAUCACCAUUCACUGGAAAAAUCAUUCUGGCGAUGGAUACUGUCACGUACUGACCUUAGUUCCUUUUUUAAUGUCUCUAUUUUUUUGGUUUGGUCAGGGCGUGAGUUGGGGUGGGCAUUCUAUGUUU